rnacentral:rRNA from 1 species
GACGAACGCUGGCGGCGCGCUUAACACAUGCAAGUCGAACGGAAAGGCCUGCUUUCCCUUGUGGAUUGCGGGUACUCGAGUGGCGAGCGGGUGAGUAACACGUGAGUGAUCUGCCCCCAACUUGGGUAUAAGCCUGGGAAACUGGGUCUAAUUCCCGAUAGGACUGCAGGGUGGUGCCUGUGGUGGAAAACGAUUUUCUAGUGGUUGGGGAUAAGCUCGCGGCCUAUCAGCUUGUUGGUGGGGUAAUGGCCUACCAAGGCGGCGACGGGUAGCCGGCCUGAGAGGGUGGACGGCCACAUUGGGACUGAGAUACGGCCCAGACUCCUACGGGAGGCAGCAGUGGGGAAUAUUGCACAAUGGGCGGAAGCCUGAUGCAGCGACGCCGCGUGGGGGAUGACGGCCUUCGGGUUGUAAACUCCUUUCGACCGCGAGGAAGCCACCUGGUUGGAAGGGUGGUGACGGUAGUGGUGGAAGAAGCACCGGCUAACUACGUG